rnacentral:rRNA from 1 species
UACGUAGGGUGCAAGCGUUAAUCGGAAUUACUGGGCGUAAAGCGUGCGCAGGCGGUUUUGUAAGACCGAUGUGAAAUCCCCGGGCUUAACCUGGGAACUGCAUUGGUGACUGCAAGGCUUGAGUGUGUCAGAGGGAGGUGGAAUUCCGCGUGUAGCAGUGAAAUGCGUAGAUAUGCGGAGGAACACCGAUGGCGAAGGCAGCCUCCUGGGCCAGCACUGACGCUCAUGCACGAAAGCGUGGGGAGCAAACAGG